AUUGAACGCUGGCGGCAGGCCUAACACAUGCAAGUAGAGCGAGCGGCGUACGGGUGAGUAAUGAAUGGGAAACUGCCCGAUGGAAGGGGAUAACUACUGGAAACGGUAGCUUAUACCGCAUCCCAUUAGAUUCGCCCAGAUGGGAUUAGCUAGUUGGUUGGGUAAUGGCUCACCGAGGCGACGACCUCUAGCUGGUUUGAGAGGAGGACCAGCCACACGGGAACUGAGACACGGUCCAAACUCCUACGGGAGGCAGAGUUGGGGAAUAUUGCACAAUGGGCGCAAGCCUGAUGCAGCCAUGCCGCGUGGGUGAAGAGGGCCUUCGGGUUGUAAAGCACUUUCAGCGAGGAGGCGGUACUCGCAGAGAAAGCACCGGCUAACUCCGUGCCAGCCGCCGCGGUAAUAC
rnacentral:rRNA from 1 species